UAUUCUAAACAUUUGCUAACUUUUCUGCAUUGCUAAUAUAUUUACUCAAUUUUUUUAAAUUAGUUUACUGUUCUGACCUCCCAAUCAUCAUCUGCAAGCCAAAGAAGAUUUUUUCUCCUUAUUACUUUCCAGUUAUCUUGUUUGCCCUUCCAAUCAACUGCAAUCCGCUGAUUAGGACUCCUCAUUAUUUGGUUUUGCGGAAAAGAAACUUGAUCCACAAUGAAUCCACAACAAAGAAUAUGAAAACCAUCUUGAUCCUACAUAACAUAAUCUGAUGCGGUGAUAUUAUUCUUAUUAAUCUUUAUUAUAGAAACAUAUACAAUAUAUUUUUUUCAAGAUUUAUUUAUAAAUCUAUUACCAGUUAUAAUAUGUUAACCUGUUCAAAGUUCACCCUUUAGAAAAUAAAACUU